rnacentral:tRNA from 1 species
ACCUGGCUGGCUCAGUCGGUGGAGCGCACGACUCUUGAUCUUGGGGUUGUGGGUUCAAGCCCCACAUUGGGUU